rnacentral:rRNA from 1 species
AUUGAACGCUGGCGGCAGGCCUAACACAUGCAAGUCGAACGAGUGGCGGACGGGUGAGUAAUGUCUGGGAAACUGCCUGAUGGAGGGGGAUAACUACUGGAAACGGUAGCUAAUACCGCAUACCAUCGGAUGUGCCCAGAUGGGAUUAGCUAGUAGGUGGGGUAAAGGCUCACCUAGGCGACGAUCCCUAGCUGGUCUGAGAGGAUGACAGGCCACAUGGAAAUUGAGACAGGGUCAAGACCCCUACGGGGGGAAGCAGUGGGGAAUUUUGAACAAGGGGGGCAAGCCGGAGGCACCCAUGCGGGGUGUAGGAAGAAGGCUUUCGGGUGGUAAAGUACUUCCGGCGGGGAGGCGUUACCCGCAGAAGAAGCACCGGCUACUCCGUGCCAGCAGCCGCGGUAAUAC